AGUAAUGUAUGGGGAUCUGCCCGAUAGAGGGGGAUAACUACUGGAAACGGUGGCUAAUACCGCAUAAUGUCUACGGACCAAAGCAGGGGCUCUUCGGACCUUGCACUAUCGGAUGAACCCAUAUGGGAUUAGCUAGUAGGUGGGGUAAAGGCUCACCUAGGCGACGAUCUCUAGCUGGUCUGAGAGGAUGAUCAGCCACACGGGGACUGAGACACGGCCCAG
rnacentral:rRNA from 1 species